GCCAGUCUUCCUCUUUUUUUCAUUUUGUAUGAGCUGCCGCUAUAGCAUGGCUGCUAACAGACAAGUGCUGUAGGUCCUCGCCUGGGAACCGAACCUGGGCUGCCUAAGCGGAGCAGCUGAACUUAACUAACAGUCCAUUGGGGCUGGCCCAGCUACCAGUAUCUGCAUCUCUCUUUGCUGAAAGGCUGUCUCUGAAGGCUGGAGCCAGCUCUGCCCAAGCAGAUGGUAGACCAAAAAUACUAUAAGCUUACUGCCUACAGGAGCCGCUCUCAACCAGUGAUUGACAGGAGUUGGUAUAUAAAUCCUUCAGGUCCCUCACUCCUCAGAAACUUCUUUAUCUGGCAGAAAAUGGCAACUCAUCAAACCUGCAGCAGAAGGCAACUUUUCAACUCUCCAUCAAUAUGACCAGCAUUAAGCAUCCAUCAAAUGAAGGAUUGGGAGCGAUAACCUUAAAAAAUCCUGCGAGGGAACUAGUUAUUGAUUCUCUGUUCAGCCUGAUGGAUGAAGGGGCAAGGGCCACAAGUGAUUGCAGAAGGCACACACCUGGCUGCCUGCCCACUCUUGCCUGUGUUGGGCAGGACUUCUGGCUAGAAAGCAUACCUUUGGUUUUACCAAAAGCACAGUUCCCUCAUGGUGAUCAAUUGCAAUUUGAUCCAAGCUGGAGGUCUGCUCUUCCUUUCCUUUCCUUGGGAUUUCAGAAAAGCCCAGAGGACAAUUUACAAUGAAACGUAAUUACUCUUCACCUGGCUGUUUGUAUGAUUGGGACUAUUUGGAGGAUGAAUCGUGAUUUAUACCAAGAAGGAAAAAACUGGUCUGUUAAUCGUGUGAAGGAGCUUGUAAGAAGGGCUUAACUUACUUUGGAGAUUAAAUUCUUUUCAGGGACUUGAGAAGCACUGAUUCAUAUUAAAAUAACAAAUGUGCUAACUACAGUUUAAUCCUUUCACCUCAUUAAGCCAGAACCACA
rnacentral:lncRNA from 1 species